CCUACGGGUGGCAGCAGUGAGGAAUAUUGGUCAAUGGACGCAAGUCUGAACCAGCCAUGCCGCGUGCAGGAAGACGGCUCUAUGAGUUGUAAACUGCUUUUGUACGGGGGUAAAUGCAGAUACGCGUAUCUUUCUGAAAUUAUCGUACGAUUAAGGAUCGGCUAACUCCGUGCCAUCCGCCGCGGCACUAAGGUGGAUUCAAGCGGUAUCCUGAUUUAUUGGGUUUAAAGGGUGCGUAGGCGGUCGGAUAAGUUAGAGAUGAAAUCCCGAGGCUCAACUUCGGAAUGGCCUCGGAUACUGGUCGGCUAGAGAGUAGUUGCGGUAGGCGGAAUGUAUGGUGUAGCGGUGAAAUGCGUAGAGA
rnacentral:rRNA from 1 species